rnacentral:rRNA from 1 species
GAUGAACGCUGGCGGCGUGCCUAAUACAUGCAAGUCGAGCGAACGGACGAGAAGCUUGCUUCUCUGAUGUUAGCGGCGGACGGGUGAGUAACACGUGGAUAACCUACCUAUAAGACUGGGAUAACUUCGGGAAACCGGAGCUAAUACCGGAUGAUAUUUUGAACCGCAUGGUUCAAAAGUGAAAGACGGUCUUGCUGUCACUUAUAGAUGGAUCCGCGCUGCAUUAGCUAGUUGGUAAGGUAACGGCUUACCAAGGCAACGAUGCAUAGCCGACCUGAGAGGGGGAUCGGCAACACGGAAAUUGAGAAACGGUCCAGACGCCUACGGGAGGCAGCAGUAGGAAAUCUUCCGAAAUGGGCGAAAGCCGGACGAGGCAACGCCGCGGGGGUGAGGAAGGUCUUCGGAUCGUAAAACUCUGUUAUUAGGAAAAAACAUAUGUGUAGGUAACUGUGCACAUCUGAACGUAACCAAAGCAGAAGGCCACGGCAAAUUCCUG